AAAGGAAUUGACGGGGGCCCGCACAAGCGGUGGAGCAUGUGGCUCAAUUCGAGGCAACGCGAAGAACCUUACCUGGGUUUGACAUCUACCUGACCGCCCUGGAAACAGGGUUUCUCUUCGGAGCGGGUAGACAGGUGCUGCAUGGCUGUCGUCAGCUCGUGCCGUGAGGUGUUCGGUUAAGUCCGGCAACGAGCGCAACCCGUGUGGUCAGUUACCAGCGCGUGAUGGCGGGGACUCUGGCCAGACUGCCCGUGUCAAGCGGGAGGAAGGCGCGGAUGACGUCAAGUCCGUAUGGCCCUUACAUCCAGGGCUGCACACGUGCUACAAUGGCCGGUACAAUGGGCUGCGACCCCGCGAGGGGGAGCCAAUCCCGAAACCCGGCCUCAGUUCGGAUCGGAGUCUGCAACUCGACUCCGUGAAGUCGGAAUCGCUAGUAAAGGGGUAUCAGCAACGGCCCCUUGAAUACGUUCCCGGGCCUUGUACACACCGCCCGU
rnacentral:rRNA from 1 species